GCAGCGAAACGCGAUAGGUAAUGUGAAUUGCAGAAUUCCGUGAAUCAUCGAAUCUUUGAACGCACCUUGCGCUCCAUGGUAUUCCGUGGAGCAUGCCUGUUUGAGUGCCGCGAAUUCUCCCUCCCCUUACGGUGGCCGAAAGGCCGAAGUAGGGCGGACGGGGUAGGAUGGGUGUUGCUGCCUGGGGAUUGUACCAGGCUCGCCCGAAAUGCAUAAGCGCCAGGACCCUCGCUACCGCUCUCUAGGGAAGAGUGGCUAAGCGACCGCUGAGCAUGGCAUGAUACGUCAUUUGCUGUGUGUGGGCGGCCGGUUGGAAGAGGUGUCUGCUUUACCAGCCCUUUUUUAAUUCUGGUCUCAAAUCAGGUAGGAUCACCCGCUGAACUUAAGCAUAU
rnacentral:rRNA from 1 species